rnacentral:lncRNA from 1 species
CCCACACCCAAUAAGAAAGAGGCUUAAGAGGAACAUUAGUUCAUGAGACUAACUGGCUGUUCAUUAAACCCACAGCUGGACUACAUUUUCAGCCUUCCUUGCAGUUAGGUGUAACCAUGUGAAUGGAUCUGGCCAAUAAAAGUGAUCUUGGAAACCAGGUAUUGAAGAUGGUGAGGCCACAGAUGGAAGGCACCUGGAUCCAGAUUUAAAAGAGUUGCCUGCCAAUCAGGAACACCCUUUUUGAGCUUUGGGGAUGUGUUUUAGUUCUCAUAUUCCUGCAUAACAAACUACUCCAAAUUUAGUGGAUUAAAA